GGCACAGUGGCGCAGUGGGUAGCGCAGUCACCUCGCAGUAUGAAUGUUGUGGGUUUGAAUCCAGCCUGGGACC